AACCUACUCCCUCCGUUCUGAAUUACUUGUCUUAGAUUUGUCUAGAUACAGAGGUAUUAGCACUAAAAUGAGUCUAGAUACAUCCAUAUCUAGACAAAUUCAAGACAAGUAAUUCGGAACGGAGGGAGUACAUA
rfam:Triticum urartu cultivar G1812 contig351325, whole genome shotgun sequence.